rnacentral:tRNA from 1 species
GAGGGUGUAGCUCAGUGGUGGAGCAUGCGUUUAGCACGCACAAGAUCCUGGGUUCAAUCCCCAGUACCUCCA